GAUUUAUUUAUAUAUUUUGUUAAUAAACUGUGUUGAGGGUCGAAGAUAGUAUAUAUUUUCUCUAACCGAAUUAUCAGAAGAAAAAUUACGAAGGAUAAGAGAAAGUUCACGUAUAACCGAAUGAUCAGAAGAAAAAUUACGAAACGAUAAGAGAAAGUUCACUAGCUUUUCUUUAUCUUUAAUCUUUCGUAGUGCAAAUAUCAAAACGGACAAUUUGACACGAAAAAUCUAUACCGAACUGCAUCAUAUAACAUAUAUAAAUAACAUUAUUAUGAAUGGCUCUCCUAAAUUUUAUCUAAUUAAUAUCGGUUAAU
rnacentral:sRNA from 1 species